ACGAAGCACAUACGGCGGAACUUUUCGGAGGGAAGAUGUAUGUGACUGAGUGGCGGACGGGUGAGUAACGCGUGGGUAACCUGCCCCAUAGAGGGGGACAACAGUUGGAAACGACUGCUAAUACCGCAUAAGAAAGAAUUGCCGCAUGGCAGUUUUUUGAAAGAUUUAUCGCUAUGGGAUGGACCCGCGUCUGAUUAGCUAGUUGGGAGGGUAACGGCCUACCAAGGCAACGAUCAGUAGCCGGCUUGAGAGAGUGAACGGCCACAUUGGGACUGAGACACGGCCCAGACUCCUACGGGAGGCAGCAGUGGGGAAUAUUGCCCCUCCUGGGUAACCAAAAUGCGGCGCCGCCGCGUGGGGGGGGGGGUAAAAAAGNNNGUNUUGCUCUCUCCCCCCCCCCGCNUCCCGCCCUCCGGGGUGGCUGUCGGUCCCUGUCUGUGUGGCCCCGGCUNNCUUCGUGCCCGCUGCCGCGGUUUUNCGUNGGGGGCCNGCGUUUUCCGGUUUUUCUGGGUGUUUNGGGUGCGUNGGUGGCUUGGCUNGUCNGUUGUGNNNNCCCGGGGCCCNCCCCCGGGNGUGCCUUUGCCCCUGUCUGGCUNGNGUGCCGGGGCGGUCCGUGGCCUUCCUNGUGUGGCGGUGGGGGGCGGGGCCCUUUGGAGGAACACCAGUGGCGAAGGCGGCUUACUGGACUGUAACUGAC
rnacentral:rRNA from 1 species